AAAUUGAAGAGUUUGAUCAUGGCUCAGAUUGAACGCUGGCGGCAGGCCUAACACAUGCAAGUCGAGCGGAAACGAGUUAACUGAACCUUCGGGGAACGUUAACGGCGUCGAGCGGCGGACGGGUGAGUAAUGCCUGGGAAAUUGCCCUGAUGUGGGGGAUAACCAUUGGAAACGAUGGCUAAUACCGCAUAAUAGCUUCGGCUCAAAGAGGGGGACCUUCGGGCCUCUCGCGUCAGGAUAUGCCCAGGUGGGAUUAGCUAGUUGGUGAGGUAAUGGCUCACCAAGGCGACGAUCCCUAGCUGGUCUGAGAGGAUGAUCAGCCACACUGGAACUGAGACACGGUCCAGACUCCUACGGGAGGCAGCAGUGGGGAAUAUUGCACAAUGGGCGCAAGCCUGAUGCAGCCAUGCCGCGUGUAUGAAGAAGGCCUUCGGGUUGUAAAGUACUUUCAGCAGUGAGGAAGGUGGGUAUGUUAAUAGCAU
rnacentral:rRNA from 1 species